CGCGUAGGCGGGCUGCCAAGUCUGAGGUGAAAUCUUUCGGCUUAACCGGAAAAUAGCCUUGGAUACUGGCAGUCUUGAGGGUGGUAGGGGCAUGUGGAACUUCCGGUGGAGCGGUGAAAUGCGUUGAUAUCGGAAGGAACGCCGGUGGCGAAAGCGACGUGCUGGACCACUACUGACGCUGAGGCGCGAAAGCCAGGGGAGCAAACGGGAUUAGAUACCCCGGUAGUCCUGGCCCUAAACGAUGGGUACUAGGUUGUGGACUAGACAUGGGUUCACAGCCGAAGCAAAAGUGCUAAGUACCCCGCCUGGGGAGUAUGGUCGCAAGGCUGAA
rnacentral:rRNA from 1 species